rnacentral:rRNA from 1 species
UACCCGGUGAGGCUGAGAGUACCUGAAGAAUAAGCACCGGCUAACUACGUGCCAGCAGCCGCGGUAAUACGUAGGGUGCAAGCGUUAAUCGGAAUUACUGGGCGUAAAGCGUGCGCAGGCGGACUUUUAAGCCAGAUGUGAAAGCCCCGAGCUUAACUUGGGAAUUGCGUUUGGAACUGGGAGUCUAGAGUCUGUCAGAGGGGGAUGGAAUUCCACGUGUAGCAGUGAAAUGCGUAGAGAUGUGGAGGAACACCGAUGGCGAAGGCAGUCCCCUGGGAUAAGACUGACGCUCAUGCACGAAAGCGUGGGGAGCAAACAGGAUUAGAUACCCUGGUAGUCCACGCCCUAAACGAUGUCUACUAGUUGUUGGGGUAGCAAUACCUCAGUGACGCAGCUAACGCGUGAAGUAGACCGCCUGGGGAGUACGGUCGCAAGAUUAAAACUC